GGUUGUAUUUAUUUAUUUAUUUGACCAUUUGUUCUGGUUCAAAGGCAUGCCAGUGGUACCUUUGAGUGGGGCCCAGUCCAGCCCUUGCCCCACUCCAGCUGUGCAAAGUCACAAUCAAGGCGCAGUUCCCAAACCUUGGACCGAUGGCCUUAAAGAAGACAUAGUACGGAAUUUGAUUUCUUUAUUCUUGAAGUCGUGUGACCAAACCCGGAACACAGGUGAGGAAUGACGUUCCCAAUGUGAGCCCAAGGGCACUUUGAUUUCAAUUUCAGUUGACAGCAAAAAAAAAAAAAAAA